CCAUCGAUCGCUAUGGAGAGGAUUACAUCGACCGAUUCUCGGCGUGUAACAUUGAUCGAUAUUGAGAGGAUUACAUCGAUCGAUGUGUAGUGUGGAUAGGUUCUUCAUUUUCACUCUAACAUUCUCAAACAUCUAACUUGCUUUUAACCUACCUUUGAGCACUUUGCACCGAGUCGGUGCAAUUUAAGUCUGGGGGAGGUAGUUACUAACACCACUUUCUUGAGUUUUUGUCAAAAAUCUUUUAAAAAAUAAUUUUAUUGAGUCAAGAAGGGGAUUAUGAACUAAUGAUUUCUACUUGAAUGUCUAACCACUUUCUAGCACCAUUCUAGAUUUACUGACUGAAGAUAAUACUAUAGAUGCUAAAGUGGAUCAACCAGUCAACUAUACACACUUGCUAGCUUGUUAGAAAGAACCGAAGCUAACCUCCAACACUAACCUGACUUCACUGCUUGUCUUGGGGCUUGGUAUACAUGGGAUCAGAUUCUUCAGACAAGUCUGGAAGGUAAAGCCUUGUGUAGAAUUAUAUAUCACAUUCCUCUCUCUAAUUUCGACCCUAGAAUUGUUACUCAAAAAGAAAAAAAUAAAAAUAAAAUAAAAUAAGAUCUAUUGUUUAAUUAGGAUGAGUCUGAACAGGACUUGGUGGCUAAAACCAUUAAGGCUUGAUUCAUAAAAGACUCCAAUAAAAGAGUUCGAAACGGGACUUGGAGGCGGCAAUCUUCAAGGCUCGCUUUCGCAAAGAACUCUUGGAUAUAGGUCAAAAAGAAGUGAACAGAGCUUGGUGGCAACCACCAUUAAGUUUUGAUUCAUGGAAACCUGUCCAAUUUUGGUCACUGAUCCUGCAAUGGAAGCGGACUUUGACUCAAGAGAGAAAUUAGAAAGAGAGAAAUUAGGAACUAACUUUUACUUGCAGUUCCAGAUACUUGUCUGAAAUCCUUGCAUCCUGUGAUCGAUACUCCCAAGUUAAAGCCUACACUUUUUACAUUAAGAAAUGAGGUUGGUUGAGGAGAUUGAUAAUAAGAUUAGUUAAGAUUGUUGGCUAGAUGAUUUUUGUUACUAAGCUAGGAUAUUGCAUAAUGUAUUUCUGUAAGAAGGAACUUUAGAUGUGGAAUGCAAUAUUAUAGAGAUGAUAAUUUCAAUGUUUCAAAUCUGUGAGUCCCUGAUGUUUUCAACCCUCUUCCAGAGAGAUUGUCCGUUGGUUUAACUUGAGGACAAGUCAAAAGAUAAGUUUGGGGGAGUUGAGAUACCAUGAUUUUCACCCGUUUUUAUACAUGGUAUAUAAAGGUUUUAUGAUGUAUUAAUCAUGUUUUUGAGUCUUUUCAAAGCAAAUACAAGUUUAUUCACCUUGUGGAACGAAACGAUACUUUUGGGACAUUUUGGAAUGCUUUUACGCAAGAAAAAUCGAUCGACGCUUGAAGAGCAACAUCGCUCGAUCAUAAUCACUUGCCAUCGAUCGACAAACAUACAUGUGCAUCGAUCGAUGCCCAGUCACAAGAAUGAAAUCGCAAAUUAAAAGAUUUCAUUUCUCAGAAGAUCUAUUAUUUACAACUUAAACCCCUAGCCGCCUGAUAGGCUAUAUGUACUAGGGUUUUGUAUCAUUUCUAGGCAGACACUUGCAAAAAGACCUAGUUUGGAGAAGAAGCAUUUUGGCUACCAUUAGAAGAGCUUAGGAUUGGAGAGAUAGAUCUGAGACUGCAAAACAGAGAAGAUCUUGAACUCCUUUAUUUCUAUUACUUAUCUAUCUGUAUCUAUGUUUUAUUUAAGUUUAUUUCACACCAUCAUGACUUUGUCUCUCAUGAAUAUGUUUGAGUAAACCAAUUGUUAGAUUUAGGUUUCUCACCAUGGUUGAAAUGCUAAUAUGACUAUUAAAAAUGUGUUUUGAUUGUUCUUUCAUUGCUUAUUAACUUAAUGCUAAAAUUGAGAUUGAUCACCUUCAUUUUAGAUCUUAGGAUUAAUUGAGUCUAACUAAUCGUUUCCCCCUUAUUACCUGAACCCAUUUGCGUGAUCUAACUAACUCAGGCGCAACGACAGUCACUACAAUAAAACUCAAGCUUAACGAGGAGAAUUAACGAGGAAAAUCAAUCCUCAUAAAUUUACGUCGACUUUACGAGGAACGUACGUAAAAAAUAGUAUCAUCGUUUUUUCCUCAUAAAAUAACGACAAAAGAAAUUCGUCGUAAAAUCAAUGUAAAGUCACGUGUCCUUUACGAGGAAAUACUUUUUCCUCGUAAAUACGACGUAAACUUUGCGUGUUAUUUACGAGGAAAAAAUUUACGUGUAUUUAGCAAGAAAAAUUUGAAUCCACCAACUUUGUAGGUGUUACACGUUUUUUUUUUUGCACCUAAUUAAUUUUCGUCGUAAAUUCAUAGGAAAAUUACAACUACCAGAUUCGAAAUUUCCUAUAAAUAUGGAUGUUUGAACAUCAUUUUAAACACACCAACAACAAAAAACGUAAAAGAAAAAAAAAUAGCUGGCUCCGGAACUAUUUACGAGUUGCGGAAGUGGAUGUAUAUGCACAGAGAUGCUAACGGGAGAGUGACGAAAGAAUACCUUGCGGGGCUGGAAACAUUUAUGCAUCAAGCAGAUUCAACACCGCUCGCCCAAGAAAGUGGUAAGAUGUUCUGUCCUUGUCGGAAAUGCAACAAUUCGAAACUGGCAAACCGUGAAAAUGUUUGGAAGCAUUUAAUAAAUAGUGGUUUCACGCCAAAUUACUAUAUAUGGUUUCAACAUGGAGAAGGUUUUAAUUAUGAUCAGAAUGAAGCUAGUAGUAGUAAUAGCAAUUUUCAGGAAGAACCGGUUGAUCAUCAUUUGCAUAAUGAACAUUACCAUCAGGAGGAGAUGGUAGAUUAUGAUAGGGUUCAUGAUAUGGUAGCUGAUGCAUUUGUAGCUCAUGAUGAAGAUGAAGAACCUAAUAUAGAUGCAAAAACGUUUUACGAAAUGUUAAACGCGGCGAAUCAACCACUUUACAGUGGUUGUAGAGAAGGUCUCUCUAAAUUGUCGUUGGCUGCUAGAAUGAUGAAUAUUAAAACUGAUCACAAUCUACCUAAAAGUUGCAUGAACGAAUGGGCAAACUUGUUUAAAGAGUAUUUGCCGGAAGACAAUGUGUCUGCUGAUUCUUAUUAUGAGAUUCAGAAACUGGUUUAUAGUCUUGGGUUGCCUUCGGAGAUGAUAGAUGUUUGCAUCGACAACUGCAUGAUCUAUUGGAGAGAUGAUGAGAAGCUAGAAGAAUGUCGAUUCUGCAAGAAGCCACGAUUCAAGCCGCAAGGACGGGGACGUAAUAGGGUACCGUACCAAAGGAUGUGGUACCUACCAAUUACAGACAGAUUGAAAAGAUUGUAUCAAUCAGAGCAGACUGCUGAGAAGAUGAGAUGGCAUGCCGAGCAUACUCAGACGGAUGGUGAGAUGACUCAUCCAUCAGAUGCAAGAGCCUGGAAACAUUUCAACAAAGUAUAUCCGGAUUUCGCUAGCAAUAGCCGCAAUGUGUAUCUCGGACUAUGCACAGAUGGAUUUAGUCCGUUUGGAAUGUCAGGGAGACAAUAUUCAUUGUGGCCAGUCUUUCUUACACCAUACAAUCUGCCACCGGAGAUGUGCAUGCAACAGGAGUUGCUAUUCUUGACCAUAUUAAUACCUGGUCCGAACCAUCCGAAAAGGUCCCUAGAUGUUUUCUUACAACCGCUGAUAAAAGAGUUGAAGGAUUUGUGGCCAACAGGGGUGAGGACGUAUGACUGUUCAACGAAGACGAAUUUUACGAUGCGAGCGAUGCUUUUGUGGACCAUAAGUGAUUUUCCUGCCUAUGGGAUGUUGUCUGGAUGGACUACGCAUGGGAUAUUAGCUUGUCCAUAUUGUAAUGGAACGACAGAUGCGUUUCCACUGAAGAAUGGUAGGAAGACAAGUUGGUUUGAUUGUCACCGUCGGUUUCUUCCCAUUGGCCAUCCUUACCGAAGAAACAAGAAUUUGUUUAGGCACAAAAGGGUUGUGAGAGACACUCCUCCUCCGUAUCUAACUGGAGAACAAAUUGAAGCGCAAAUCGACUACUAUGGAGCUAACGAAACAGUUCGUUGGGGUGGUAAUUGGCAUGUCCCUCGUAAUAUGCCUGAUUCUUACGGUGUUCAUCACAACUGCCACAAGAAGAGUAUAUUUUGGAAGUUGCCAUAUUGGAAGGAUCUUCUUCUACGCCACAACCUCGAUGUGAUGCAUAUAGAGAAGAAUUUCUUUGAGAACAUCAUGAAUACAAUAUUGAAUGUCCCAGGGAAGAAAAAAGACAACAUAAAAUCAAGGUUGGACUUGCUGUAUAUUUGCUCAAGAAGCGAGUUACAUAUUAAAAGCAAUGGACAUGUUCCCGUUCCGAUAUUCAGUUUGUCUUCAGAAAAAAAGUCGGUGUUGUUCAACUGGGUGGCAUCAGAAGUGAAGUUCCCCGAUGGGUAUGUUUCGAAUCUCUCUAGAUGUGUUGAAAAGGGUCAAAAGUUCUCCGGGAUGAAGAGUCAUGAUUGUCAUGUCUUUAUGUAACGACUACUGCCCUUUGCAUUUGCGGAGCUACUUCCAACAAACGUACAUGAAGCACUUGCAGGUACGUAGUGUAUUAUAUCACAAUAAUUUAAUAACGGUCUAAUUUGCAAAAUAAUAUAUGACUAAGAAUGUGUUUAAUUGUUUUUGGAAUAUAAAAGGCAUUGGAGCAUUUUUCAGGGAUCUGAGCACACGCACUCUUAAAGAAGAAGUUGUGGAACAGCUUCAGGAGAACAUUCUCAUCUUAUUGUGCAACCUGGAGAAGAUAUUUCCUCCCGGUUUUUUGACGUCAUGGAGCAUCUAGCUGUCCACCUUCCAUAUGAGGCAUUGCUUCGUGGACCUGUACAAUACGGAUGGAUGUAUCAGUAUGAGCGAGCCAUGAAAUAUUUGAAGGGAAAGGUAAAGAACCUCGCCAAAGUUGAAGGUUCUAUAAUUGAUGGAAGUUUGACGGAAGAAGUUUCUCACUUCACAUCGUACUACUUUGCGUCAAAAGUACGUACCCGGAGAAGAGCUCCAAAAAGAUAUGAUGAUGGUGGUGUUGCGCCAACAUAUGCAAUUGCUGGUGUUCCAGACAUCUUUAGCCAGAUUGGGCGACUCGGUGGGAAGUCUAAAGAGGUUUGGUGGUCGAGUGAACAAGACGCUCAUAGUGCACACACCUAUAUUCUACUCAAUUGCGAGGAUCAAUUGAUGCGUUAUUUUGAAAGGUAACAUAUAUAUGGACACUUCGAAACACAUAUAAUUAAGUAUAAUAAGUUAUAUUAAUUGGGAGAGAUUCAUUCCUAUAAAAUGUGAUUUUACAGCCUAUUUGUUUCUCAAGUCGAAGAAACAUUUCCUGGUAUAUCCACAAGUGACGUAGACAAAAGGAAAGAUCAACACUUCAUUAAGUGGUUGCGAAAUCACGUAUUAACUCAAACUCUUUUUUCAUACAUGAUCGGUAUUUCAAUAUUCUCUUUACUUUUGCAUGUUGAUUAUGACGACGAUGCAGAUUAUCCUAAGUGGUUACACGAAGUAAUUCAAUCUCCACUUGUAAAGGUCACCACAUCACAGAUGUAUUUCACGCGAGGCUAUACUUUUCACACAUAUGAGUAUGGUAAACAGCGGGCGACCAGUAACUAUGGAAUAUGUGUGAAAGGAGAAACAGAUUUCUACGGGAUCUUAACGGAGAUUAUUGAAGUCGAAUUUCCAGGGAUACUGAAGCUGAAAUGCGUCCUCUUCAAAUGUGAAUGUUUCGACCCCGUCGUCAACAGAGGUGUUCGCUCUAACAAAUUCGGUGUAGUUGAUGUCAACGGUGGACGACGGUAUAACAAAUUCGAGCCUUUCAUCUUAGCUUCACAAGCAGGUCAAGUUAGCUUCCUUCCAUACCCUCGGAUGAGAGAUUCGGGUAUAAAUUGGUUAGCAGUGAUCAAAGUUACACCUCGAGGACGAAUCAUCAGUGGAGAAGAACCACCAUUGCAAGAAGAACAGAUAAAUGAAGUCGAGGAACCUGAACAAGAAAUUGAUGACAUCCUUCUCAUUGAUCCGCAUAAUCACGAGUACGAAGAUCUUACCGAUGAUGCCACAGGCGAAGCUGUUGAAGACGAGUUUAAUGAAAAUGAUGAUAUUUCUAGUGAUGACGAGAAUGUCGAUGUAUCCGAUUGAUGUAUUUGAUUUUGAGUAGUUUGUUUUAUGAAAAAGGUAAUGUGAGAGUUUUGUUUUAUGAAUAAGGUAAUAUUGUGGGAGUUUGUUUUGUGAAUAAGAAAAUGUGGGAGUUUGUUUUAUGAAUAAGUAAAUGUGGGAAUUGUGGUUUGGAAUAUAUGAAGUAGAAGAUAAAAAAUUGUGGUUUGGAAUGGAAAUAAAGAUAGGGUUUGGAAUAUAUGAAGUAGAAAAUAAGGAAUAUGGGGUUUGGGUUUUGGGGUUUCGGAUUUUAGGGAUUUAAACGUAAUACCCGUUAAUUCCUCGUAAGUUGACGUCGAAAUUACGACGCGGUCCUCGUUUAUUCCACGUAGACAGAAUCGUCGUAAAGGACUCGUUGGGUAACGUGGAAAUAACGACGAAAUUGAAAAAAAAUAAGGAAAACGAAACCCGUUAAUUCCACGUAGGACGAAAUCGUCGUAAACACCUCGUAGUAUAAAUCGUCGUAAACACCACGUAAAGUAAAUGACGAACGCGGCACUCUUUAAUUCCACGUAGGACGGAAUCGUCGUAAACACCUCGUAAUAUAAAUCGUCGUAAACACCUCGUAGUGUAAAAACUAGAGAAAAAAAAAAGAAGAGAGAUACCAGAUUUAAAUGUGGCAAGACUUCCAGCAAUUAUAAUACUUAAGUCUCGCCCACAUAAAUUCCAAUAUCUUCUUUUCUUCCUUUUUUUCUCAAAUAUUUAUAAUUUUAAUAGGAAUUGAUUUGGGAGUAUGAUGUGAGAUAGAUAGGGUGUGAUUUGGGAGUUUGUGUGUGGGUUGGGAAGGAGAGUUACGGGUAUAUUUAUAGGGAAGCUUUAUUCGGUAAUUACACGUAAGCUAAAUCGUCGUAACUUCCUCGUAUUUAAUUACACGGGCCUUUGUAAUUCCUCGUAACUUCCUCGUAAAAUAAAACGCGGGCCUUUUUAAUCUGUCGCUGUUUCGUCGUAAAAAAAAAACACGAGCCUCUGUAAUUCGUCGUAAACUUACGAGGAAUUUACGACGGUAUGUAAUCUUAUAUAUACACCCGAGCGCUCACUCUUUCUUUCCUCUCUACUUCCUCUCCACUUCCUCUCCAUUUCCUCCCUGUUUCGUUGCGAUGGUAAGCCUCUCUAAUUCCUCUCUAAUUUAGUUAGUUUAGGAUAGAUUAGGUGGUUAGUAUAGGGAAUUUAGAUAGGUUUACGGAUCUUAUGUUAUUUAGUGUUGAUUAGGUGGAUAAUAUUGGGAAGUAUACUGUUCAGAAAAAUUUAAAAAAUUUAAUUUUUUUCUCAGGUUCGAAAAGGUAGACUUACUGCCCAUUACAGAGAGAUGUUCGGUGAGCCGGGUAGUCGUUUAGACCCGUCAUCUUCUUCAGCUCCCGGUUCUUCCGGUCAGGAGAGUGUCCCCGAGACUCAGUACACUCAGAGAGUCUUUGGGUCUCCUUCUUCUAGUGCACCAUCGGUUCCUCACGUGCCUCCCCCGAUGGCUCCUCCUCUUGUAACUCCUCCGAUGGCACCUCCGAUGCCCGCCGAGAUUCAUCCCGAUUUGAUGGUGCCUCCGAGUGCUCCUUACUCGCAGUACACUGUAGAGGACAUUCUCCGUCUGCCAGGCAGAGAAGGUUUACCAGUCAUCGACCCCGGACAGAACUUUGUGGUAUGUUUCAUUAUUUUUUUAUUCGUUUUAAAUUCUUUUAUAACUUUAAAAAAUAAUUUAUAUUUUAAAUUUGUAUUUUCCAGGUUUGGGAUUGACGGAUGUCUUGCAUCGGACGUAACCGACACGAUGAAAGGUUACUUCUCCAUGGCACAUCCGAACUGGAGUAAGACGCCUCACUACGUCAGAAAGACGUGGUUCAAAAUUUACGCUGUAAGUUUCUAUUAAUUAAUUAUAUAUCUUUUAAUUUUUUCAUGGUUUAUAUAUAUAUUUCUUUCUGAAAAACUAAUUAUAAAUUAUUUUUUUCAACAAGAAAAAUAUAAUUGGGCCUUGGGGAUCACUGAGAGGGUGAGGAAGAAGUUUAUCGCGAAGGCGAAAGUUUGCUUGUUGGACACGGUCUCCAACUGGAAGGGUGACUGGAUCGUGAAGGGGUAUGAGCGUGGCAAACCCGCUGAGCUCACCACGGAUGUCUGGGAUGGCCUCAUCCGAUAUUGGUGUCUUCCUGAUUCCAUUAGAGUCGCCCAGUCUUGCUCUAACUCCCGUAACACAGUCGAUGAGCACGGGAACGGGCCGAUGCUUCACACUACGGGCCAAAAACUCCACGCCGGUGUCCGUUUGAAAAUGGUAAUUAAAUAUUUAAUUAAAUUAAAUUUUUAAUAUAUUUUUAUAUAUAUUCUAACAACUUUCUUAAAUGUUUUUUAGGCCAAAGAGACGGGAGUUCUCCCGUCUCUUAUGCAACUUUACGAGAGGACCCACAAGAACAAGGCGGGCCGAUUUAUAGAUGACAAGUCCGAGCAAAUCUACAACGAUUUGGCUGCUCGGGUUGAAGAACGCCAGACCCCGCUGACCCAGCAGUCCACCGAUGGAUUACUCGUCACCUUAUCCACACCUGAAGUGGAUAAGCUUUACAAGGAGGUAAAUUUUCUAAAAUUUUAAUUUUUUAAUUAUUCAUUUAAUUUAACUUUAAAUUUUUACUAACAAAAUUUAUUUUUUGUUUUUAAGGUUGUCCCAAAAAAAAGGGACAGACGUUGGGGAUUGUUUCCGUCAACGAUGUUCCGAGAGCGACAUCGUCUUAUGGUCAGUGACGGGAUGAUGAAGUCUCUCAGCUGCGUAGGGAGUCCGAUGAGCUGCGUAGAGAGUCUGCUGAGCUGUGUCACGAGUUGAGCUCGACGCGAUCUCGUAUGGGUGGACUCGACGGCUUCUUGGACGUUGUAGCGGCCACAAAUCCGGAAUGGGAGACUUUGUUGAGGACCAUGCGACAAUGAAAUCCUAUCCCAGGCGAGUCACCAACCGAUGACACACAUGCCGAGGCGGAUGUAACGGCGAGGAGUGAUGAAUUCUACCGGGUGAUAAACGACUCUUAGUUCUUUUUAAUUUCGGUUCUUGUAUUAUGAAUUCAAAAUUUAUUUAUAUAUAAAAUAUUUUGGUUUUGAUUUUUUUAGAAUUUUAAUUUUAUUAAUAAAUUUAAAUAAUUUAAAUUAUUUUUUUAAUUAUAAUUUUUUUAUAUUUCUGUAAAAUAACGAAACGACGUAAAUUCUUAGCUAAAUUUGCGACUUCCUUACGUGGAAGUUUAACGAGGUUUUUACGAGGAAUACAUUACAAGGAAAUGACGUGGAUAGUUCACGUGGUCUUUACGAGGAAACCUAUCAAGGUAUUUACGUUUACUUUAUGAGUAUUUACUUUCGAGUUAGUUACGUGGAUUUUACGAGGAACGCGUUUCGAGGUAUUUACGAGGAAGUUUAGCGACGUUCUUACGUGGAAGCUUUCCGUGGUCUUUUCGACGAAAUGCUUUUAUUCGCUUUUACGACGAAAUUAUUUCCUCGCUAUGUUACGACGAAUUAGCGAGGAAAUAUGCUUUACGACAAACGUUUAACGACGAAACGGGUUUCCUCGGUAAUUCCUCGUAAACUUGCUUUUACGACGAAUUCACGUGGAAAAGCGCCCUCGUAAAUCUUUUGUUUUCUUGUAGUGAGUUGGUGUGAGAAGAUUAGAGAACAAAUUAAACCCGUUCGCAAGGCUCGCUAGAAUAAUCAUUGAUCGACGCAACUAUUGUUCUGUCGAUCGAUCGUUACAAAGGUGUAUCGGUCGAUGUACAUCAAGUCACAUCGAUCGACACUCUCUCGUGAUCAAAAUACGACAGUUGAGAUCCAAGAUCUAGCGAAGAUAACCUAUAUGGUUAAAUCAUUGUUUAGUUCAAAAACCAUCAAACCCUUUAGUCUAAACUAAGUGCAUACCUUUCAUACCUGAGAUUUACCUGAAUCUAGCUGCUUUCCCAUUCUUGAAACCACUUCAAUUCAAUCUAUUGAAUCACUAUUGUUUUCGAUUUAUCAUUUAUUGCUUUUAAGUCUGUUGAGUAAUCCUAGAGUCUCUGUGGAUUCGAUCCCUAAGUACUACAUAUGAACCUCUUUUGAUGAGAGUAACACUCUUUAGGGUAAUUUGAGUGAUAUCAAAUUUGGCGCCGUUGCCGGGGACUCUUUCUUAUUACCUUUAGAUUUAAUUUAGAAUUUAGUAUUGACUUGUUAUGAAAAUUUUGCUAAAGUUUUCUUUCGUAAUCUGUUACGCAGACACGAAGAAUGGAUAACACAGAGCGCGACCAACCAUCGAUCGAUGGAGACACGUUUCCAUCGAGCGACGUUGAGUCAGAAGAAUCGAUCGAUACGGAGCUACCAACAUCGAUCGAUACCGCCCAGCCGGAAGCAGGUAAGUUUUCUCUUACCAAGCCCGCUAAUGAGAAAGUAGUCCAAACUGAACUAAAUGGUCAAACGAGCAAUGAAGCUAGCCAAACUGAACAGGGGACUGAAGGUGAAGAUAUAAAAUUGUCCAUACAAGACUAAAGGUGAAGAUAUAAAAUUGUCCAUACAUGACUACCUUGAUCCUGGUAGGACCUAUUCCAAUAGGUCCGCUAUUAAAAUACCAGGAGAUGAUACAAAGAAAUCUAAGUUUAACGCAGAUUACUACCGUAUGGUUCGUCAAAACCCAUUCCGUGGAUUUCUCCCAGAACACCCACAAGAUCACAUUGAAACUUUGGAAGAAUUAAUACCAGAUGAAUAUGAUCGUUGCAAACUAUUCUCAUUCUCCCUAGAAGGAGAAGCCCUCACGUGGUUAAACUGUUUAGCAACAGGAGCACUCACUUGUUGGGAAGAGAUUAGAAGUGCCUUCCUUAGAGAAUUUUUCACUGAUGAACGCUACUGGGAAGUAAGAAAGCAAAUUUCUACAUUUCGCCAAGGUCCACGCGAAUCGUUUAAUAACGCCUGGGGAAGAUUCAGAGGCUAUGAACUUGAAUGCCCCCAUCAUGGUUAUUCAGAACCACAACUUCUUAACAUCUUUUAUGGAGGUGUUAAUUUGAGCUAUAAAACCACACUCGAUACAGCGAGUGAUGGAAAUUUCAUCACUAGGAAUCCCGAAGGAGCUAGACGUCUUAUCAAGAAUAUGACAACGGGAAGAUCCUAUGAAAAGAUGGAUGAAGAGAUGUAAAAGGCCACAAGUCCAAAAGACAAUUCUGAUUUGAUAGAAAUUAAGAAUUCCCUUAAAUCCCUUCAUUCCUUUCUUCAAAACAAACACCGAUCUGAUAUAAGCCAGAUCGACGACAACGCUUUGUCUGACACCGAUGAUUAUUUGGAUGAAGGAACGAACUGUUCCAAUCUCUACUAUGUGCUUAAUGUCGAUAGCUUUACCCAAGCUUGUGACACUGCUGUAAAAUUACGUACCGGAAGAGAGAGAUUCAAUAUCACACAAGCUCUUACUGGCAACCGUAAAACAAAAUCGGAGUUUUACGGAAAAAUAAACAUGGUUUACGGAGAAUUAAUGGAAAAAGCAGAUUCUUUGGGAGAACUUACCCGAAAAUUAGAAGGUCAAGUAGCUGAGAUUGCAACUGCCAUAAAAAGAGAUGCUGGAUGUCUUCCCGGGAGAACUGAUUUAAACCCAAGACGUCAAGUCAGUGCCGUAAUGUUGGGCAGCGGGAAAAACCUCGCAGCAGAUACGAGGGACAACACAGAUGUUGGAAAACCUAACGACACUUACAAGACCGGAAAAAGCAACUCUCAUCCUAUUCUUCUUAAUGAUCUUGACCCAAAUCCAUCUCAAGAGAACCGGAAAACCACCGCUGAAAAGGCUAAGGAAAAGGCAAUAGACUUGGAACUAGAAGAAGAUACGGAGAUUGAGGACGAAAUCGAUCGACAGUACGGAACUGACGUCGAUCGACCUAAAUCACCUACCAUCGAUCGACAACCUGAAAAAUCCGUCGAUCGACGGUCUACUCAACCCGAACACAUAAUUGAAAGAGUCUAUAGAACUUUACCCCCUUUUCCUCCUAAAACGCAAACUAAGAAAUCAUUAGAAAACGCAAUCUGCAAGAAAGCCUUAGAUAAGAUUACUGUUGAGAUGUCCCUUAGUGAUGCUAUAAAAAUAGCACCUUCGAUUAAGAAGUAUAUAAAGGAUAUGACAUCUCCAAACUAUCCAAUUGCAGAACAUAGCGUGAUGAUGAUUUCAGAAGAAGUAAGUGCUAUGAUUAAACGAGAAACUCCAACGAAGAGAUCAGAUCCUGGUAGUUUCGUCCUAGAUUGUAAAAUAGAAAACAUGCGCUUUCCUAGAUCAUUAUGUGACCUCGGCUCUAGCGUGAACCUUAUGCCUUACUAUGUUGCAGUAACAUUAGGAUAUAAAGAGUUUAUGCCAACUCCGAUCACCCUGGUUUUAGCCGAUAGAUCUAUUAGGGUACCCGAAGGAAUUCUCCAAGAUGUUCCCAUAAAGAUUAACGAUUGCAUCGUGCCUACGGAUUUUGUUGUGUUGAAAUACAGACAAGAACCCAAAGACCCCCUCAUUCUGGGUCGGCCAUUCCUAGCUACAGCUGGAGUAAUCAUUAACGUCAAAGAAGGACGAAUUAAUUUGAACAUAGGGGAUAUCUCGAUGAUAGACCAUAUAUUCUACCCAUUUUUAAUCAUGGUUUAUAAGUAUUUUAAAGUGUUUUAAGAUACAAUUAUUAUUUUUUGGAGUCUAUUUAGAGUAUUUACAGGUUCAGGGACGUUUAGGAAAAAUAUGGUGAUUUUGGAGCCUUUGGAGGUGCAGAGUUGCACAGACGCGUCAGAUGUUUAGCUAUUGAGGGAGACCUUCCCACCGUUAUAUUGAGCCCAUAUUUUGACACAAAAUAGAGAUUUGAGUUAGCUUUCUAAUGCCACCAGUCUCAGGUCAAUCAGCAUCCUGUAGCAGAAGUUAUGCCCGUUUUACUGAAGAGUGGUCAGUCUGCCUUGCGAGAGGAAGCUGUCGAGAAGAGGAAGCCGCGUCGAUCGAUGCAGCACUCUGCACAUCGAUCGAUGGAGAUCCCAGAUCGUGGGCCUUGUAUAUUUUAUGACCAAAAGUAACCACAAAUUACCAAAAUACCCUUGGACGACCAGAAACCCUAUUUAUGUUAUUUCUAAGCCAUUGUUGAUGGCUACGCUUUCUAGACUUCUUUACGCUUUCAUUUUCAUUGUUUUUCUUAGAGGAGAGAAGGGAGGAACUCCUAUCAGAGUCCUCCUGGAACUCCUAUCAGAGUCCUCCUGGAACUCCAUUGGUUUUCUUAAUCAUUUCUAUUUCAGUUUUACAUCUAUUCAUUUAUGAUUUUUUACAUCUAUUCAUUUAUGAUUUCUGUUUUCAUGUCUGAAUAGAUCCACCUGUUAGGUUUAGGGUUCAGAUAGGUUUGUGGGAUUAGCCCCAAACUAUAGAUCUGCCUUGUUGUGAUAUUCAUGAUAGAUCUAUACUUAUUGCUUGUUCUAGAGUAAUUAACUAGAAUAUUGAUCAUAAGAUUGCAUACUCAAGCACCCUUGUUAUCCCAUCCUGACAUCUAUCUAUCAUAUUAGGACUGCUAGAGAGGGCUAACCGCCAAUUUAGUAUCUUAAUAGGGCAUAUCAUACUCGCGCAGAGGCCUGGCUAGAACCCGUCGAUCGAUGUCCUUAACUGACUAUCGGUCGACGUAUGCAAAGGUGUAUCGGUCGACGUCCCAAUAGGACAAUCGAUCGACACUCUUUCGUUGUCAACAUACUAACCGUUGAGACACGAGAUCUAGCUUGUUAACCAGUGAAAAAUGCGACAGCUGAUCACUGAGUUAAGCGGUUGAGCUCUAACAUAUCAUGCAUGCAACAAAUAGGUACCUAUACGAAUUAUAAUCUCCAACACCUGAAUAGAAACCCUAGAUCUAGCACCAUCCUUCCAUCGAACAACCCUUGCCAAGCUGAACAAUUGACUUGUUCAACUUGCUUACUACUUUGUUUAUUUAAUUACUAUUUUACUGCCUUAUAAUCUAUUAGCCUAAAUUAUUAUAAAUUGUUUAGAUCUAAUUGGUUCCCUAGCUCCUUGUGGAUUCGAUCCCUAAGUACUAUAACUCGACCUCUUUUGAUGAGAGUAACACUCUUUAGGGUAAUUUGAGUGAUAUCAAAUUUGGUGCCGCUGCCGGGGAGCUUUGAUCGCCAUUAGAUCUUGUUUAGUUAGAUUUACUCUAGGUUUUGUUACAGUUCGAAAAACUCAUUAAUUUUUUUCUUCUAUUUCAGGUACAUACAUAUCAGUACCAGAGCAAUGAAGAGAAGAUUUCUAGGUUCUUCAAGGAAGGAGCCUGCUGGUCUAUGCACGAUCUGUAAGUCUAAGAGGAAAGUAUCGAUCGACACCCUCCAAGCAGCAUCGAUCGACAGCAUACACCAUCAAUCGAUCGACACCAUUCAUCCGACAUCGAUCGACAAACGACAAGCAGCGGUGAUCGACAGAGCCAACAAAUCGACAAACAACACUGUUCACCGAGGUACUAUUCAUCGAGGUACUAUUCCUUGAGGUACUGUUCAUCCAGGUAAUGUUCAUCCAGGUACUGUUCAUCAUAAUACUAUUCAUCAUAGUACUCUUCAUCGCGAUACUAUUCAUCGCGACACCAUUUAUCUCCCGUCGAUCGACACUGUUCAUCCUGUGUUGGUCGACACUAUUCAUAUCCCGUCGAUCGACACUGUUCAUCCCGUGUCGGUCGACACUAUUCAUAUCCCAUCGAUCGACACUGUUCAUCCCGUGUUGGUCGACACUAUUCAUAACCCGUCGAUCGACACUGUUCAUCCUGUGCCGGUUGACACUAUUCAUCUUCCGUCGAUCGACACUGUUCAUAUUCUGUUGCUCGACACUAUUCAUCUUCCGUCGAUCGACACUAUUCAUCUUCCGUCGAUCGACACUGUUCACCAGAACACUGUUCACCCGAGCACUGUUCAUCCGAACACUGUUCAUCGCGACAUUGUUCACCCGAACACUGUUCAUACGAAUAUUGUUCAUCGUGACACUGUUCAUCGAAACAAUAUUCAUCGCGACACUGUUCCUGCAAUGACGAACACCACUUACGGAGAGACAGAGAAGGUCGAAGCGCUCAUACUUAAGAUCGACAAGAAAGGUAUUUGGCGAGACGAAGAAGGUCGUCCUUGCAGCCUCACAGAACAAUUGAUUAAUUCAGAGGGUAGUGUAAUCCCUGAUGUAAUUGCUAUGGCUGAGAUGAAUACCUUUAAUCUGACAAGUCAAUGGUAUGAUUGGGGAAGUGAGGAUCUAUUUUACGGUCUUCUUCAUGAGGAUCCCAAAGAUCUUAUCAAGAGACUUAAGGAUUUAGCCUCAGCAAACAAGCACGAUGAAACAUCUGCAGACCACAUUAUCUGCAAGAUCUUCCCCUAUUGUUUAUCUAGAGAUGCUUUUAGCUGGUUCAGUAAGUUGCAACCAAGAUCUCUAACUUGCUGGGAAGACAUUAAAGAAGCCUUCAUAGGAAAAUUUUCAGCGAGGCUGUAGCAACUCGAAGUAAAAGGCUUGACAAAAUGAUUAAAGAUCGGGAGAAAGGAAUAAUGAUUAGUAUGAGUCAGAUUCUUGACUUCGUCUACAGCGAGGAGAACGGAGAUAUUGGAACACCGACAACUCAUGUCAACCAGCCAGACAUUCAGGUUCACCAUGCAGAUGAGAGUAAGCAGAAGGACGAACUGAACAGAGAAAAGCUGGUCAACCAUGAUACAGUUAAGGAUGAUGAAUAUCAUGUAUCAGGAGAGCAGAGCAAAGUAGAAGAAGCUGAUACAAAAGAUCCGACUUCAGCAUCGAUCGACAGUAGUAACUCAGAAUCGAUCGAUAUCCGCACUUCAGAAACGAUCGAUACAUAUAUUUGUCAUCGAUCGAUACCUUCUACAAUCCCUGAUGCUACCACUGUGUAUGUUAGGACUGGACGACCGAAGGCAAUUAGAGACUAUAACAGUCCUGAGGAUGCCUAUGCUAAAAGGUCUGCAUUGCGUGGUUCAGCACUUCAGAAUAUUAUCCUUGAACUGCACCCUGCAUAUAUCUCUCUUUUGGGUCAGCAUUCUUUCCAUGGUUUUCCUCAUGAAGAUCCCAUUAGCCACCUGGAGACAUUUGUAGAUCUGGCAUCGACCAUCAAAUGCAAUGGAGUCUGUGAAGGCUACUAUUUAUGCAAAUUAUUCUCCUACUCUCUUGCUGGAGAAGCAGCAUAUUGGUUCAGGAAGUUGCCACUAGGAUCUCUCACUACUUGGAAUGACAUCAGAUACGCCUUCCUCAACAAAUUUCUCUAUGAUGCUGCAGCAAAUCUAGAGAUUGAGAUAAGGUCUAUGCUGGAAUAUAUGGUGGAGGAUGAUGAGCAACAUGAGUCUGGAAAGCUGAGCACAGUAGAAGUAGCUGAUAUUAGUGACACGAGCUCAUCAUCGAUCGACACCCUUACAAUAACAUCCAUCGUCACCCCCACCUCAUCGUCGAUCGACCCCAGUACCUCAGAAAUGAUCGACAUAGACUUUUGUCAUCGAUCGAUUCCACUUGAAAUCCCUGAAAGAUCGAGUUGUCCUCAGGACAUUGCAAACUCGACACAGGAGAGCAUCGAUGAAUCAAGCUGUGAUCUUACCUCAGAUGUCGACAAAGUCACUCUGAAAGACUUUAUGGAGUUGGAAGAAUGGCUUCGGCAGAAGCUUGAUGAUCAGCCCGCUUCGGGAAAAGGUCUGGAAAAUUCCUUAAAGGCUGACGACAUCGACCGACAUAAACCUGAUGAGAUCGAUCGACACCAACCCUACGACAUCGAUCUACAGUCGCCGUCUAACAUCGAUCAACAUACACCCGACUGUAUCGCUCGAUGCCCACCUGAUUGCAUCGAUGGAUACUCAUGGUUGGAUGAACUAUCUGGAUACCGAAUUGAACCAGGACAGAUUGAGGAGAUAAUGCACAUGUCUAAGACAUCACACAUUGAUGUCCCCGAACAUCUAAGACCACCUAUAUGCGCAGAAGAAGCUGUUGGGAUUUGCAAAAAAAGUGAAGAGGAUACAUGAUCCUGUGAAGAUAAUGGUUCCAUGUGCAGUGUUUGAAGUUGAAUCUCCUAUCCCACCAGAUAAAGGUGUGUAUCUGAGUUCUUACAUUGAGGUAUUGGAUGAUAAACAUCAUGUAGAAGCUUCUCAGAGAGGGCUGCUAUUUAGAGAUGAAGAAGAUGAAGGCGCAACAGAACCACCAUCGAACAACAUUAGCAAAUCGGAAUUGAUCGACACUAACACUUCAUCAUCGAUCGAUACCGAUCAGAUACCAUCGAUCGACACCCUUCGCGUAUCAGAGCAGAAUGAGUUUGAAGUGUGUCAACAUCUUUUUGAUGGAGGCACCACCAUGCGAUCAGACAAGUCUGUGGGAAAGAAAGGGAGAAAUUGGAAGAAGCGGAAACGAACCAAAGAAGGUUCUCAAUUACCAUUGACUCCUUACUUCUCAGAUAGUGUCAGAAAACCCAGAGUGCGCAGCAGAUGCUUCUCACAGCCUUUUGCAAAGCUCAAAGCACUCCUUAUUGCUGAAAUGAUAGACAAAGGAGAAGGGUAUAUGGAAGAGGCUUUCACAAAAGAAUGAUAAAGCUUCAAAGAGUAGAAACUGAGACUUGGUUUGGAGCAAGUUCUCAUUCUUAUGCGGACUUAAUCAGAUCUCCAGAAGUCAAGCUAAUGAAUAAAAAUAAGCGCUGAGUGGGAGGCAACCCACUGUUAGGUAAUUUUAAAUAUGGUUUAUCUUUCAUUUAUUACUGAUUCUUUGUUUUCUAAAGAUUUCAGGUAAAAAAAAAAAAAUGAACAGUAACUACGGUACUGUAGCAGAGACACUGUAGCAGCAACAUCGAGCGACACUGUAACAUCGAGCGACACUGUAGCAAAGUAAAAGGACAAGAUCCGAGGAAGACGAGAUUGCAGGAGAAUCGAUGAUGGCUACGUAGCAUCGAUCAGAGCAUCAAGAGUAUCGAUCGCCACUUAAUUGUGUUGCUCGAUACUCACAUCCAAGCAGGUAUACCGUUUUUUCUUGUUAAAUAUUGUCCUUAUGAUCUAUUUUCCCACCAAUCUUAGACUGGAAAGCGCUAGUGAUAGUGUUGUUUAAGUCUGGGGGAGGUUUUACUAAUAUUGUGUUUUAGUUAGUUAAAAAAAAAAAAACCAGAUCCGAGUAGACGAUUGCUCAGCACAACGACCGAUGACACCAGCUCGAUAUCGAUCGACAGCGCUUCAUAUCCAACAAUCGAUUGUCUCUUCACUGUGUCGAAUGAUUGCUCUAGCCAUCGACCGAUGAGACCAUGUCACUAUCAAUCGACAGCACUUCAUCAACAUCGAUCGAUUAUCUAUUCAUUGUGUCGAUCGACACUGAUGUCGAGCAGGUUAUCGUUCUUACUUGUUAAAUUGUCUAUUUAUUUAUGUUCUAACCAUAACUCCAACUAGAUAUACACUGGGGACAGUGUAAUUUAAGUCUGGGGGGAUGUUUACUGAUAUUUGCUUAUCUAUUGAGUUUUAUAAAAUGUUUUCAAAACUGUUUUUAUUGAGUCAAGAAGGGGAUAAUGAACUUAUUAGAUUCAUGAUUGUUAUCUAACGACUCUUUAGCACCAUUCUAGACUUACUGAUUGCAGAUAGUAUUAAAGAUACUAAAGUGGAUCAACCUGUCAACUAUGUUCACACUUGUUGAGAUUGUUUGAAGGAACCGAAGCUGACCUCCAACCUAAUUUGACUUAACUGCUUGUCUUGGGGCUUGGUAUACACUGGAUCGGAUUCCUCCUUCAGGUCUGAAAGGUAAAAGUCUGAGUGAUUUUGGUUUCCUUCUCUCCUCCCUUUGGCAUCCUAAUAAAAUAAAAUAAAAGAUUGAGAUGAUUUCUUGCGGUUUAGAGGGGUAGGAGCUUCUCCUGUGACCCCAUUAUUCUACUCUAAUAGAAUGAUCACACAUUGUUGGAAGCGAGGGAUAGGUACAUUACCGAUGACCCCACUAUUCGCUUACACUUUGUCAAGAAAAGAAAAAAAAUAAAAAUAAAAAAAUAAAAAAAUAAAAAAAUCGAAAAGAAGGUGAAUAAGAUGGACUGCGUCAGCAUCUUUGUUCAUUGAAAUUGAGAUAAAAAGGAUUCAGAGAAGAGAGAUAUAGAGUAAAAGAAACCAGAACAAGAGUACCUGUUUACUCAGAUACAUGUUGGGGUAAGAGUCCAUGUGUCUUGUGAUCGAUACUCCCAAGGUAAAGCAUACACAUUUAUUUAUGUUAAGAAAUGAGGUUGGUAGAGGAGAAUGUGAGACAUGAUUUGCUAAGAUGUUGGCUAGGUGAAUUUGGUUGCUAAGCUAGGAUAUUGUAUAGUGUGCUUCUGUGAUUAGGACUUCUUAGAUGUGGGUUGCAAUAUUGUAGAGGUGAUGAUUCUAAGUUUUUAAUCAUGUGAGUCCCUGCUGUUUUUAAAACCUCUUUCAGAGAAACUGCCUGUUGGUUUUGCUUGAGGACAAGGAAAAGGGUAAGUCCGGGGGAGUUGAUAUAUCAUAUAUUUUAUCCAUUUUUGAUCAUGGUUUAUAAGUGUUUUAAAGUGUUUUAAGAUACAAUUAUUAUGUUUUGGAGUCUAUUUAUAGUAUUUACAGGUUCAUGGACCUUUAGGAGAAAUAUGGUAAUAUUGGAGUAUUUUGGAGCCUUUGGAGGUGUAGAGCUGCACAGACGCGUCAGAUGUUUAGCUAUGAAUGGAUAACUUCUGACCGUUAUAUUGAGUCCAUAUUUUUCCACAAGAUAUAGCUUUGAGUUAGUUUUCCAAUGCCACCGGUCUCAGGUCAAUCAGCAUCCUGUAGCAGAAGUUAUGCCUGUUUUACUGAAGAGUGGUCAGUCUGCCUUGCGAGAGAAAGCUGGCGAGAAGAGGAAGCCGCGUCGAUCGAUGCAGCACUCUGCACGUCGAUCGAUGGAGAUCCCAGAUCGUGGGACUUGUAUAUUUUAUGACCAGAAGUAACCACAAAUUACCAAAAUGCCCUUGGACGACCAGAAAUCCUAUUUAUGUUAUUUCUAAGCCACUGUUGACGGCUACGCUUUCUAGACUUCUUUACGCUUUCAUUUUCAUUGUUUCUCUUAGAGGAGAGAAGGGAGGAACUCUUAUCAGAGUCCUCCUGGAACUCCAUUGGUUUUCUUAAUCAUUUCUAUUUCAGUUUUACAUCUAUUCAUCUAUGAUUUAUGUUUUCAUGUCUGAAUAGAUCCACCUGUUAGGUUUAGGGUUCAGAUAGGUUUGUGGGAUUAGCCCCAAACUAUAGAUCUGCCUUAUUGUGAUAUUCAUGAUUGAUCAAUACUUAUUGCUUGUUCUAGAUUAAUUAACUAGAAUAUUGAUCAUAGGAUUGCAUACUCAAGCACCCUUGUUAUCCCAUCCUAACAUCUAUCUAUCAUAUUAGGACUGCUAGAGAGGACUAACCGCCAAUUUAGUAUCUUAAUAGGGCAUAUCAUACUCGUGCAUAGGUCUGGCUAGAACCCGUUGAUCAAUGUCCUCAACUGACUAUCGGUCGACGUAGGCAAAGGUGUAUCGGUCGACGUCCCAAUAGGACGAUCGAUCGACACUCUUUCGUUGUCAACAUACUAACCGUUGAGACACGAGAUCUAACUUGUUAACCAGUGAAACAUGCGACAACUGAUCACUGAGUUAAGCGGUUGAGCUCUAACAUAUCAUGCAUGCAACAAAUAGGUACCUAUAGGAAUUAUAAUCUCCAACACCUGAAUAGAAACCCUAGAUCUAGCAACCAUCCUUCCAUCGAACAACCCUUGCCAAGCUGAACAAUUGACUUGUUCAACUUGUUUACUGCUUUGUUUAUUUAAUUGCUAUUUUACUGCUUUAUAAUCUAUUAGCCUAGUUUAUUAUAAAUUGGUUAGAUCUAAUUGGUUCCCUAGCUCCUAGUGGAUUCGAUUCCUAAGUACUAUAACUCGACCUCUUUUGAUGAGAGUAACACUCUUUAGGGUAAUUUGACUGAUAUCACUCGAUGACUUUUGAUAUGGAAAAACUGAUUAAGCGACCCCUAAUAGAUUACCAGGCCUUGUACGUGGAAAAAGUUUCUGAGGAUGAAAAAGACUCUUUCCUAGACAUGUGUUCAGAUAACCCCUUAGAAGACACCCUUAACCACGUGAGAAAUGAAAUGAUAAAGCACCCUUAACCACCUGCGAGUAAUGGACACUAGCAUCGAAGUUGCAAACAUAGAAAAAAAUGACGACUCAGAAGUUGUCAUCGAUCGAUACCUACAAGAUACCGUCGAUCGACAACCUCCCUCGCAAUCAAAUUGGUCUAAAGAUAAAGCACCAAAGGUAGAGUUAAAACCUCUACCUAGCGGUCUUAAGUACGCUUACCUUUAUGACCAGUCCUACUCUGUUAUUGUCAACGCCAAUCUCACUAGCGGAGAACUUGCCUUAUUGCUGAAUAAAUUACGCAAGUACAGGAAAGCGAUCGGGUAUUCUCUCGAUGACAUUCCUGGAAUCUCUCCCGAUCUUUGCAUGCAUCGGAUCAACUUGGAAGAUGACGCUAAAACAUCAAUAGAGCAGUAAAGGAGAUUGAAUCUGAAUCUAAAAGUAGUUAAAAAGGAAAUUAUAAAACUCCUUGAUGCUGGAGUUAUUUACCCUAUUUCGGAUAGCAAAUGGGUAAGCCCCAUACAUGUUAUACCCAAAAAGGGAGGUAUCACUGUAGUGAAGAAUGAAAAGGACGAACUCAUUCCGACUCGCACUGUUACUGGUCAUCGGAUGUGUAUUGAUUAUAGGAAAUUGAAUGCCGCUACUAGGAAAGACCAUUUUUCCCUUCCCUUUAUUGAUCAUAUGCUGGAGAGAUUAGCUAAUCACCAGUAUUACUGUUUUCUUGAUGGAUAUUCCGGAUUUUUACAAAUUUCUAUACACUCGGACUAUCAAGAAAAGACAACGUUUACAUGCCCCUAUGGAACUUUCGCAUAUCGCAGAAUGCCAUUUGGUCUAUGUAACGCCCCCACCACUUUCCAACGUUGUAUGAUGUCAAUCUUUACGGAUAUGAUCGAGGACUUCAUGGAAGUAUUCAUGGAUGACUUUUCAGUCUAUGGAUCAGAUUUUAAGAGUUGCCUCGACAAUUUAUGCAAAGUAUUGGAAAUAUGUGAAGAAAAGAACCUUGUCCUAAACUGGAAAAAAUGCCAUUUCAUGGUUAACGAGAGAAUAGUGUUAGGACAUAGGGUUUCCGCCGCUGGUAUAGAGGUGGAUAGAGCUAAGAUUGAAGUAAUGACCAGUUUACCUCCGCCCAAAACUGUUAAAGACGUGCAACGCUUUCUCGGACACGCCGGAUUUUACAGGAGAUUUAUACUGGACUUCAGCAAAAUCGCUAGACCUUUAAAUAACCUAUUAUGCAAAGAUAUUAAAUUUGAUUUUACCCCUGAAUGCAUGAAAGCUUUUGAAGAUUUAAAGAAAUCCCUUAUCACUGCCCCAGUAGUACAAGCCCCCGACUGGAAUCUUCCUUUCGAAAUCAUGUGCGAUGCGAGCGAUUUCGCAAUUGGAGCAGUUUUAGGCCAAAGGAAAGACAAAAAGCUACAUGCCAUUUACUACGCCAGCCGCACGCUUGAUGAAGCGCAACGGAAUUACGCAACAACAGAAAAGGAACUAUUAGCUGUAGUUUACGCUUUUGAAAAAUUCUGUCAAUACUUGAUUGGCUCACGAGUGAUAGUUCACACUGAUCACGCUGCCAUCAAAUAUUUAAUGCAAAGAAAGAUGCUAAACCUCGACUCAUACGCUGGAUUCUACUACUCCAAGAGUUUGACAUCGAAAUUAAGGAUAAGAGAGGAGUAGAUAAUGGAGUCGUUGACCAUCUUUCCCGGAUAAGGAUAGAGGAUGAUGUCCCUAUAGACAAUAUUUUUCCCACAGAGAAUGUUGCACACAUAGAUACAUCUUUCGUCGGUCAAAUAUCUCUCACAUCUGAAGAUCUAUCGAUCGAUGAGAGAGAUAGCAUAUCGGUCGAUUCACGUAGUGAUACAUCGAUCGAUGAUGAGACUGAUGUAACUUCUCAACUCUCCAAUAACCAAGAUCACGACCCCCCAUUUAUCAAAAUCAACUUCGAUUUACAAGUUAAUGUUUCCGAUGAUGAGAUUAAUCUCACACCUGAGGAAUUAUCACAACGGGAGGUAAACGCGAUUGGUAGAAACUCGGAUAACGACCCUGGUAUGCCGACAUAGUUAACUAUUUGGCAGCUGAGGUUGAGCCAGACGAACUCAAGGGAUAUAUGAGGAAGAAAUUUUUCAGAGAAAUUUUACCUCUAUAAGCAUUGUUCUGAUGGCAUAUAAAGACGAUGCGUAUCCGAAGCUGAAAUUCCGGACAUUAUUUACCAAUGUCACGGAGCUGAUUAUGCAGGACAUUUCGCUACCUUUAAAACAGUUUCGAAAAUUCUCCAAGCAGGAUUUUGGUGGCCGACCACUUUUCGCGAUGUCCACGCAUUUAUAACCCAAUGUGACAGAUGCCAAAGACGUGGAAAAAUCAGCAAAAGACACGAAAUGAAACAAAAGUUCAUUCUUGAAGUUGAAGUCUUUGAUUGCUGGGGUAUCGAUUUUAUGGGACCCUUCCCGUCUUCAUAUGGAAACAAAUAUAUACUAGUCGCUGUAGACUACGUAUCCAAAUGGGUCGAAGCAGUAGCUUCUCCUACCAAUGACGCAUAUGUGGUUAUUAAACUCUUCAAGAGUAUAAUCUUUCCAAGAUUUGGAGUUCCGAGAGUAGUCAUUAGUGACGGUGGAACUCAUUUCAUUAACAAAAUCUUUGAUAUAUUACUUAAAAGGAAUGGUGUUCAUCAUAGAGUAGCUACACCUUGCCACCCACAAACUAGUGGACAAGUAGAAGUCUCUAACCGGCAAAUUAAGGAAGUCUUAGAGAAAACCGUAGGAACCUCCAAAAAAGAUUGGUCUAGGAAAUUAGAUAAUGCACUUUGGGCCUACAGGACCGCCUACAAAAUGCCGUUAGGAACAACACCAUUCCACCUCCUUUAUGGCAAAUCAUGUCAUCUACCAGUGGAACUGGAACACAAAGCAGCUUGGGCUACCAAACUUUUAAAUUUUGAUAUCUAACCAGCUGCAGAAAGGAACUCAUCCAGCUCAACGAGCUGGAUGAAAUCAGACAUUUAGCUUUCGAAAAUUCGAAAAUUUAUAAAGAGAGGACUAAAGCUUAUCAUGAUAAAAAGAUCAUAUCUCGGCAUUUCGAACCGGAUGAUCAAGUCCUCCUUUAUAACUCUAGAUUAACUUUAUUUUCUGGAAAGCUAAAAUCCUGUUGGUCUGAACCCUUCACUGUAACGAACGUUCAACCCUCUGGAGCUAUCACCUUACAAAAUGAUAAAGGCCAGGAAUUUACAGUGAAUGGCCAACGAGUUAAGCAUUAUUGGGCAAAACCACCAGCGAAAGCGCCCAUGGUGCUGUAUGAACUUGAUAAUUAGUUUAUUCAGGAAGUCGAGCUAAAGACUUUAAAAUAUUAAGCGCUGAAUGGGAGGCAUCCCAUUUUAUACAUAAAAAAAAAGAUUUAAUUAAAAAAAAAAUAAUUAAAAAUCAUUAAUUAAAAUUAAUAAAUUAUAUUUAAUAGUAAUUAAUAGUAAUUUCCGUAUUUCUUAGUAUUAGCAUUAUUUAGAAGAUUUAGAAAUUAGGAUUUAUUUUUUAAAAAGGACAUCGAUCGACGAGGCAUCACUGCCAUCGAUCGAUGCGGGCAUAUAGACGGUUAAAACACUUAUUUCACUCGAUAUUGGCCCAUUUCCUCUUCCACACUCGCAAACGAAACCGAAAACAAAAACACCCCUUUUCUCUCUCGAUUCUUGACGGAUUUCAUCCAUUCUUCGCCUAAAUCCACUCGGUUUUUCACUCUGUAACUGUUAAAUCCACUCUUGAAAUCAACAUUCUAGGUCUGCACUCGAAAUCUUAAAUUUUUCGAAAAAUUAGGGUUUUCGUUUUGAGUUGGACUAGAACGCUUGAUUUAGUGUGAUUGAGAGAUGUUUUUGUAGUUCAUAUUGCUUAUCUAGAGUUUGAUUUGUGAUUUCUAUGCCCUUUGAUUCGUAUCAACGCGAUUUGGAGUUGAGUGAUGUUGCAGGUUUCGCGAUUCGACAUCGGUCGAUAUGAACUCGUUCGCAUAGACCGAUGCUCUCUUGUCCGAUUGUUCCGACACGACAAUAUCGAUCGAUGUUCUGUAUAACCCAUCGAUCGAUACUACCUUUUAUCGACUAUUCUAACUUUAUUUUCUUCUUGGUUUCAGAUGAGCAGUUCAGAAACAAACGCACGAAACAGAGAACUCAGGUCGAAAAGGAGGUUCGACGAGACUAGCAGCUCCACCAACCCACAGCGUCCUCCAUGGCUUCGCGCCGAAAACACACCAUUCGAUGUCCCGGGCUAUGAUGAUCCUAAGGCAGCGAUCAACAGCAACAAGUGCCGUCAACAUGCCCUGUCCGACAACUGGGACGACCACGACAGCCUCUUCUACAAUGCUUGGCUGGGAGUCUCUAUCGAGCCCACCAAAUUCCUCGACCGACCCAUCCUAAAGAAGCUCGGGAUCGAGGGAGAUAUUCAGGACAUGAUCACACAGCUAGGACUCGGUACCAUGCCCUCUCGCGCUUACGACCUCUACCCGUUCUCGUCCGCCAGUUCAUGGCCACUGUCGAGGUCACCUACAGGACUUCAGCAGCGAGGGUAGCGGGAGAUGGUACUUUGACGUUCUUCGCCAGAGGGACACGCUACAGGAUCACUAUCACCGAGCUCUGUGUUUUGAUGAGAGCAUCGCCUCCUACACGGUCCCACCUUUCCCACACCUCGAGGGAUUCUGGGACAUCGUCGGCACAGGAGUUUGGAACACAAACAGGGCCGUGCUAUCAGACAUCCGCCAUCCUGCACUUCGCUACUUCCUACGGCACCUUGCAAACACACUGGUUUGCAAGAUGGAGCCCAACAAGGUUAGGAUAAAGGAGCUCACAUUACUUUUCUGUGCAGUGAAUGGCGUGGUGGAUUUGGUUGAGUUGGACGAGGACGGCGAGAUAAGCCCGCCGAACCUCGGAGCUGUCUUUGCCGCGCACUUGGUGGAGUUGAAGAAGAAGCCCUUCACCAGCAAGGGUAAGAAGAAGAAGGAGACAGUUGGGAGUCUUCUGACCCUGAUUUUCCAGUAUCUCGGCAUCCGCCUCGACUCUUACUCUGCCGACCGCGACCACGCCUUCCUCGACGAGCAGCACUUGGUGCACUCGCUAUGGCUCGAGGAAGGGAAACUCUGGCGCUUCAGGAUCUGCGAUGAGCAUCGCCUUCUACCCCUACCGGAUAGGAGGAUCACUGACUUCGGGAACAACGUGGAGCACCUUCGAUGCAUGCCAGACGAGGCAUUCCUCCGCAACCCACGGAACAUGUCACGCCGACCUCCCUGCAUUCGCCAUACCAGAGCUCAGGUCGCACAGGCACCGCCUCUCCCCGACUUCCCGAACAUACCGGACAUCCCUAUGCACGACCAGGGAGACUUUCAGAGGUUCGUGGUGGACGCUCUUCAGGCCAUCUGGGCUAGAGUGUCUUGUCGGAGCAGGAGAGCUACAGGAGCGCAGGGACCAGCACCAGCACCAGCAGCAGCACGCAGGGACCCUUCCCCAGAGGACGAUGAGGCGACUGAUGAGGACACCGACUAGUCCUCACAUCUCUAUCUCUUCUCCUCCUAUUAUGAACUUGUUUAUUUAUUUUCUGAACUUGUAGGAUUUAUGUUUUUUUAAAUUUAUAUUUUAUGUUUGAGGAUGCUUAUUAUUUCUUAUGUCUGGUUGUCUAACAGAGCUAACAUUAGGCAAGGAACUUCAAGUUUGACACCAAGCACAUGCAAAAAAAUUUUGCUUCGCCAUCGAUCGAUAUGGAGAGAAUUACAUCGACCGAUUCUCGGCGUGUAACAUCGAUCGAUAUUGAGAGGAUUACAUCGAUCGAUGUGUAGUGUGGAUAGGUACUUUAUUUUCACUCUAACAUUCUCAAAUAUCUAACUUGCUUUUAACCUACCCUUGAGCACUUUGCACCGAGUCGGUGCAAUUUAAGUCUGGGGGAGGUAGUUACUAACACCACUUUCUUGAGUUUUUGUCAAAAAUCUUUUCAAAAAUAAUUUUAUUGAGUUAAGAAGGGGAUUAUGAACUAAUGAUUUCUACUUGAAUGUCUAACCACUUUCUAGCACCAUUCUAGAUUUACUGACUGCAGAUAAUACUAUAGAUGCUAAAGUGGAUCAACCAGUCAACUAUACACACUUGCUAGCCUGUUAGAAAGAACCGAAGCUAACCUCCAACACUAACCUGACUUCACUGCUUGUCUUGGGGCUUGGUAUACAUGGGAUCGGAUUCUUCAGACAAGUCUGGAAGGUAAAGCCUUGUGUAGAAUUAUAUAUCACAUUCCUCUCUCUAAUUUCGACCCUAGAAUUGUUACUCAAAAAGAAAAAAAAAAUAAAAAAAAAAUAAAAUAAGAUCUAUUGUUUAAUUAGGAUGAGUAAUUUCGACCCAGGACUUGGUGGCUAAAACCAUUAAGGCUUGAUUCAUAAAAGACUCCAAUAAAAGAGUUCAAAACGGGACUUGGAGGCGGCAAUUUUCAAGGCUCGCUUUCGCAAAGAACUUUUGGAUGUAGGUCAAAAAGAAGUGAACAGAGCUUGGUGGCAACCACCAUUAAGUUUUAAUUCAUGGAAGCCUGUCCAAUCUUGGUCACUGAUCCUGCAAUGGAAGCGAGAGAGAAAUUAGAGAGAGAGAAAUUAGGAACUAACUUUUACCUGCAGUUCCAGAUACUUGUCUGAAAUCCUUGCAUCCUGUGAUCGCUACUCCCAAGGUAAAACCUACACUUUUUACAUUAAGAAAUGAGGUUGGUUGAGGAGAUUGAUAAUAAGAUUAGUUAAGAUUGUUGGCUAGAUGAUUUUGGUUGCUAAGCUAGGAUAUUGCAUAAUGUAUAUCUGUAAGAAGGAAUUUUAGAUGUGGAAUGCAAUAUUAUAGAGGUGAUAUUUUCAAUGUUUCAAAUAUGUGAGUUCCUGAUGUUUUCAACCCUCUUCCAGAGAGAUUGUCCGUUGGUUUAACUUGAGGACAAGUCAAAAGAUAAGUCUGGGGGAGUUGAUAUACCAUGAUUUUCACCCGUUUUAAUACAUGGUAUUUAAAGGUUUUAUGAUGUAUUAAUCAUGUUUUAUAGUCUUUUCAAAGCAAAUACAGGUUUAUUCACCUGAUGGAAGAAAAUGAUACUUUUGGGACAUUUUAGAAUGCUUUUACGCAAGGAAAAUCGAUCGACGCUUGAAGAGCAACAUCGGUCGAUCAUAAUCACUUACCAUCGAUCGACAAACAUACAUGUGCAUCGAUCAAUGCCCAGUCACACGAAUAAAAUCGCAAAUUAAAAGAUUUCAUUUCCCA
rnacentral:lncRNA from 1 species